UUACUGUUUGAGAUUCUCUAUUAUAUGUUUGUAGGACAAAAUUAGAGUCAUUGAAAAUAAAGAUGAGUACACUGAGAAUAUAGUUUAAAGAUACCGAAUAACCUCUUUAUUAUCAAUUUAUCAUUAACUUUAGUUGCAAACAUGUCUAGUCGGGCAACCUCUUUAUUAUGCAAAUGACAUUCCCUUAUGUUUUUUUGACGUGUUGAACAUGAUUUCGGGGUUAGUUUGAACUGAUUUAGGAGCAGGAAUUUGGUUUUAAAUUCCAGAAAUAUGAACUUUGUUGCUGGAAAAUGAAUUUUGAGUUGCUGAAAUUGUGAUUAGGUGCUGGAAAUGUAGUUUUAAGAUUAAAAAAACCCAGUGUAAGUGCUCGAAUUAGGUGCUAAGAGCUGGUAUGUGCUGAGAUUGAGAUACAUAUAUUAAAAUUACAUUCUUGAAUGCAGAAACUAAGAGUGUAAGUGCAUAAAUUGAAGUUGUUAGGACUUCCAAAAACAACGUGACAAGGAGCAAAGACAACGGGAAGAGCAGCAAAGGCAAAGAGAUGAGGAGCUAAGGCUAAGAGAUGAGCAAAGGCAACGUGAAUUUGAUGAACUCAAAGCCAUGAUGAUGAGGCAAAUGCAUGGACGAGACAAUGUGUGAUCGAGGUGAUGGUGGAAAAUAUUCGAUAUUGGAGUAUCUGGCAUCUUGUCAAGGACUAUAUAUGAAGUUGGAUUUUUGUCGUGGAUUCUACUGUAAUCUAAUUUUCUCGUUGUUGAACUUUCCUAUUAUUUUGCACCCUAGGGCUUGGUUAUAAUAUGUUUGAUGCUACGUACACUUUUUGUGGUACAAUUUUUUGUUAUUUUGUACUCUGCGAAUUCGGAUACCGUUUGCUAAGUAUUUGUUGAACACCCUUUAUUUAUAGAAGUUAUGAAUGAAUUGUUCUUGAAUUUCAA